GGGGAUGUAGCUCAGUGGGAGAGCACUUGCCUAGCAUGUUGGAGGCCCUAGGUUCAAACCCCAGUUCCUCA
rnacentral:tRNA from 1 species